UGCAAAUGUCCUCAUAGGUACUUGUGCCCCUUCAGACCAAGACACUGCAUACCGAUUUUCAAGUCGAUCGAGCCAACGGUUGCCUAGUUAUAGCAAUUUAUGUGUUUUUUCUAUCUUAUAGCGCCCCCAAGUGGCAGAGAUGCGCAAUUUUUUUGAUUUGACCGAAGAUUGAGCUCAUACAUAUGUGUUCCGAGUUUGGUGAAGAUAUCUCAUUCCGUUCAAGAGUUAUAGUCAAAAUAGCAUUUGGCUAACGUUAGCAUAGACGCUUUUUGGUGUACUGUUUCGCGUAAGAAUUGAAAUUUCAACUUUUUUUUUGAUAAUUAUUGAUAUUGAGUGUCCAGGGAAUAUUUAUGAAGUGGUUUGGUUCUGAUUGGUUGAAAAUCCUAGGACUAGUUCGCAAAAGUAGGUUUCGGAUAUAGCUCGAUUUUGCGAGAAAACGGUGCGUCGUAGACCCCAAAAAGGCGCCGUACACUUUUGUUCGGGCUAACCCAAGGAUUGCAACAAUGCCAUGUUUUUGAGUCUACGGCUAACGGUUUACGAUUUACGGCCAAAAAUGUCCAAAAUUUUAGUUUUUUGCGCUGUAGCGCCCCCGUUAGGCCGAUUGGGUCGAGACUCGGUAUCUGACAAGAAGGCCGGACUACUACAUUCUGACCAAAUUUCAGCUUUCUAGGCCUUACGGUUUGGGCUGCACGAACAGUUUGAGUGGAGAAUAAUAAUAAUAAUAAUAAUAAUAAUAAUAAUUAAAGCUGCAAGCAGCAUUUACGGGGUUCAAGCACAUUAAGGCCUCUGAGGUGGUCUGAGCCAACCUGGACGUAUGGAUGACCGUUAAACACAUCCAAUAUGGAGAAUAGGCUGACAGACAGACACACGCACUGAAAUUAAAUGAUUAAACUAGUUUUUAAGAGUUUGGAUGUCAUUUUCAGGUUUCACUGUAAUCAUAAUGUGGCAAAAUUUUAAAAACUGAUAAGUCUGUAUGAAGAAAAUUGAAAACUUUAACAGUGAGAUUUAAAACGUUGCAACAGUGGGUUUUUUUAUUGUUUGGGCAUGAAUUCAUAAAUCUUUUCAAAAGUACUGUUUCAAUUUGCAGAAUGAGCCCAUUAGUGGUCUUCCGCUGCCAUCUAGUGGUUAUAAAUUGCAUUUACUCAAACAACACUGUUUUUAAACAUAACUGUUAUAGUAUAGUGUUAUGUUUUUUGCCCAAUCUCUCUUAAAUUUUACAUACUUGUUUAGGAUGAAAUUAGGCAUUAUUUUACACAGUUUUGAUAAUUUGUGGGCUUUCUGUUUGUAUUAAUAGGCCUUUGUGUACACUAUGAAAAGAACAUAUUAUAAAAUUACUGGUUUAUAGUUGUCCAAAUAAAAUUGUUCAACAUGUUUUUGAUAAUUAUUGACCUUCAGAGUCUAGAGAAUUGUACUUCAGUGGUUUUAUUGAUUUAAUUUUCAGCUUAAAGCCUUGGACUACUUUGCCAAAGUAACUUUUUUAAAUAAUCUUCAAUAUUUAAUUAACAGCUUUAUUGACAACAUUGGUCCCAGAAGUUGUUCAGAAUGAGGAGAUCUAUCAUAUGAUAUGAAGAUCUAGUGUUUAUGUGAAUAUAUGAGCAUUUUCAGACAAUUUGAGGCCAUUUACCAUGUAAAUCUUAUGUUUUGAGACCUUUUCUACUGUUAUAGCGCCACCUAUGGUCCGAUCUCCAUGAAAAUUUGCAUGGUUGUUAAGGGUCAGCUGUUACAUGUUUUCAUCAAGUUUCAUAAAGUUUUGAGUUUUCGUUUAGGUUUUAUAUGCUUUUGGGUAUUUUGGUCACGCCCCUUUUCUAAUUUAGCCAGUUAUAGCUAACCAAAGGACAAAAUUCUGAAAAAAUUUUGAUAAUUAUUGAUCUAGAGAGUCCAGAGAAAAUUACUGCAGUGGUUUGGUUUCGAUCGGGUAAAAAACCUGGGACUAGUUCGCAAAAGUAGCUUGUUGACAUAUUUGUGAAUUGCAAUUGAACGAUUUGAUUGACAUCUUCGCUCCUUGAGGCAAAGUUGUUCACAAAGAGGAGAUCUAUCAUAUGAUAUGAAGAUCUAGUGUUUGUGUGAAUGUAUGAACAUGUCCAACAAAUUGUGAUCAUUUUCUAUUGAAAAUGUGUGUUUUUGAGGCUUUUUCAAAUGUUAUAGCGCCACCUAUGAUCCGAUCUCCAUGACACUUUGCAUGCUUGUUAAGAGUCACCUGUUACAUGUUCUCACCGAGUUUCAUAAAGUUUUGAGUUUUCGUUUAGGUUUUAUAGGCUUUGGGGUAUGUUUGGCCACACCCCUUUUUCUAUAUUACCCCUUUACAGCUAACCAAAGGACAAAAUUCAACAUUUUUUUAAUAAUUAUUGAUCUAGAGAGUCCACAGAAUAUUACUGCAGUGGUUUGGUUCCGAUCGGACAAAAAACCAAGGACUAGUUCGCAAAAGUAGGUUUUUAACAUAUUUGUAAAUAACAAUUGAACGAUUUGAUUGACAGCAAUGGUUCUUGAGGCAAAGUUGUGCAUUAUGAGGAGAUCUAUCAAAUGAUAUGCAUAUUGUGUUGAUAUGUGAAACACCACGUGAUUACAGAGCCAUAAAACUCGUUAGCGCCAACUAGUGGCCGAUUUCUUUCAAAAUUCUUACAGACCUUAAGGUUCAUGAGUCGAACGUACCCAGCGAGUUUCGUUCCGAUCAACAUCCGUUAACCCUUUCAAAUAGGUGCUUAAAUUUGUUUGGCCAAUGGCGGCCAUGUUUUUUUGAGAUAUGCAAAUGUCCUCAUAGGUACUUGUGCCCCUUCAGACCAAGACACUGCAUACCGAUUUUCAAGUCGAUCGAGCCAACGGUUGCCUAGUUAUAGCCAUUUAUGUGUUUUUUCUAUC